AACGAACGCUGGCGGCGUGCCUAACACAUGCAAGUCGAACGGAAUUGGAGAGCUUGCUUUUCAAUUUAGUGGCGCACGGGUGAGUAACGCGUAGAUAAUCUGCCUGAUGAUCUGGGAUAACACUUCGAAAGAGGUGCUAAUACCGGAUAAGCCCACGGUGUCUUUGGACACUGCGGGAAAAGGGGGGACCUUCGGGCCUUCUGUCAUCAGAUGAGUCUGCGUACCAUUAGCUAGUUGGUAGGGUAAUGGCCUACCAAGGCUACGAUGGUUAGCUGGUCUGAGAGGAUGAUCAGCCACACUGGAACUGAGACACGGUCCAGACUCCUACGGGAGGCAG
rnacentral:rRNA from 1 species